UCGGUGAUAACUGAUUGGCCCGUGAAGCAGCGGAAUUUUUGUUUCGUGUGAAAAAGGCAGUCGGUGAUAAUCGAUUGUCCCGGAAGACUACGGAUUUGGUCCGUGUGAAAAGACAGUCGGUGAUAAUCGAUUUGUCCAGAAAAUACAGAAUUGUCCGUGUGAACACGUCGGGUCGAUCCGAGGAGCCGGACAUUUUGGUGUUUUCUGGCCGGGCGGUGUGUUCUGCCUUUUGUGACGUGUCGGGAAUCAUCAACGAGGCGGUGGAUUGUCCUUCCGGUGAUUUCGGAACAGAACCAAGUGAUUUCGACGUUGUCGGAAGCUGAUAGGUGACCGGCUGGUAAUUUCUGUCGCUACGGGUGAGCGGGGAACGAGCCACGUGUUGCAGUACCUGGAAGCGCUGAUUUUUUGAGGUUAAGUUGCCGCUGUGUGGUUUGUUGAAAUGAGCCAAGGAGGCAUGGUUUCAUCCAUCGAGCCGUUCCGCAAGGGUUCUUCGUUUUCGGACUGGAUUUGCCGUCUGAAAUAUACAUUCGACGAUCUAGCGAAACCUGGAACCAGUUCAGAGAAGCAGCUCACGGACAUGAUGGGUCGAUUGACAACAGCUGGCGACAUGGCUGGAAGUG